UAGCAUGGAUAUGAUGAAUAGUGGCUCUGCCUAAUUUUAAAAUUUGAGUUCUCUCUCUAGUUUAGACAUAACUGUUAUAAUUUAAAGCUUGCUCUAAACCUAAACUUGUGGGAAGAAAACUUGAUCUGAAGUCUAGGUUGUUAACGGAUAUGAUAUGGGAAGGUUGAGCUGCUGUUUAUCUGUUUCUAGAGAUGCUAGAAUUCUAGAGAAUUUUAUCUUCAAAAAUCUUUAAAAAUUGCAUGAUGAGUUCCUGUAUGAUGAGAGUUUAAAUUCCUACCACAGUCAUAUAUACAUGCUUGCUAGAUUUUAAGCCACACAUUUACUUUUUACUGCUUAUGAGCAUUGAGUGUGGUCAAGCUAUGUAGACCCUUAGGAGCUUGUCAUGUGGUUAAAUCAAGAUUCACUUGCACGUUCACUCACACAUGCUACUUCUACCUCAGAACUACGCAUCCACAUAUAUCCACUCAUUUCCAUCUCCAGAACCAUCCAAAAAUAUUCUACUCCUAAUCCGGGAGAGAAUAGCCAAAAAUAUUUCUAUUUCCCCUAUGAAAUAAAUGCUCAACUUAUCUUGGUUACUACCACUUGCUAUAUUAUUUCAUGAGAUGAGUGCUCUAAAAAAAGAAAAAAAGUGAGACAAGGGGUAAAAAUGGACAAGUGUCCGACAGUAGAAUUAGGGGUACAAAAUACCCACCUAAGAGGAAAGAAAAAGAAGAGCAUCUCAUUCUCCUCAAAAGUUUCAAAGAGCAAGAAAGGUAUGUAUCCCCUCAAAAGAGCAAAAGUAGAAUUAGACUUUCACCAUUGUUAUCACCAUCAUCACCAUACACCAUUCGCCACACAUGCACAUCUUGAUUUGAAUUAUUGACUUAUUUCUUUGGAUCCAUGGUUUGACUAUACAAUAAAUGUCUUGUGAGUAUGUAUACUUUAUCUCCCACCUAUGAGCUCCAGAUAUUAAUGCCUUAUUAGAGUAGGAUGAGAGAGAAGGUAAUGUCACUAUGCCUUAUACCACAAAUACCACAUAUAUUGAGAGAAGGCGUAUACCAUCACUGCCUUGGUAAGGAUCCAAAAAUACCACAAAAGAGAGAUCUGAGAGAGUUAUACAAGGAAUCUCUGAGUUUUAUUUGAAAUCUGCAAAAAAACUCCAGAGCUAUAGCUGAUCAAGAAUAAGAGACAUGGCGCUUGACUAGACUGUUCUAUCUUUUAACUACUCAAGACGGAAGUGACGGUUACAAGUCCCAUGGUGAAAGGUAAAAUGAAUAAGUUUUAAGUCUUGACAGUUUACUCUAACUCAGAGAUGAGAUCUUAUUUAAAAGCAUGUGUACCGUCAACUUUUAAAGGCAUUACAACAACUUCUGAUCCAUCGCUGAGAUUAUCCUUGCUCAGGGACGAGCAAGAGGUAAGCUUGGGGGAGUUUGUUGACGGUCCUUAAGUAUCAAAUUUAAUUAUCAAAUAAACAAAGAAAAGGAUCCAAAUGCAACCGACACCCAGACUUAGGGUUUUAUCUCACAGAAUUCCACGAGUUUUGGUGUUUGUCUAUUUCUGCAGGGGGUUAUAAGGAAAUACGGAAGAAAGGUCCACACGUCGGGAUUACAUAGAGAUAUUAACAUGCCGCACAAUUUUCUAUCGUCUAGAAGACUCGAGAAGCCACGGGAACGAAACGGAGGCAGAACGGGGCCUGGCCCAGGGCGCCCGCCCCCCUUUGGUGCCCAAUCAGAGUCCUCUUCGGGGAUCAUGCCCCACCGACCUAAAGGAUCAAGGAUAACCGUUCAAUCAAUGUCGGUUUGAUCAGACGGCCCACAUUCACUCAGGACUAUAUAACCAGACCCCCUGGCCCAUGGAGGAGAGCACAUCUCAACCCUAAUUCAUUUUUCAUCAGGGAGAAGAAGCCUCUGAUCAAACCCUAGAGCCACCACAUCAAUUAGAUCUCUAGAUUAGCAUAGCUACAUAGGAUUAGAACUAGAAGGAGUCAAUCUUCGAUUGGUUUCCGGAUCUGUCAAGAGGAUUAUUGGUAAUUCUCUAUUGUUCUUCAAUUGUUCAUCUUUGUUCUUCGAUAUUAUGAAUAUGACUUUGUUCUACUUCAAUAUAUUAGUUAUGACUUUGCUCUACUUGUUUAUAUUCGCAAUUAUAUUGUUCUUAGUUUAUCAUAGUUAUAUACUUCGCUUAGUUAGAUUGGAAUUAUAUAGAUGUUUAGGAUCGUAUAGCGUUUAUCCAUUGGAUCCAUGGAUAAAUGAUAGAUAUUGUGUACGCGUGGUGCCUAUACCAUAUUUAUUUGCGAUUGUACCCUAUAUGCCAAAUCGCGGGGUAGUUCAUGGUAGUGACAGCUCCAUUGAUUCUUAUAUAGUCCCCCUCUCGUGUAUUGGGCUGGAAGAGCAACAUUAUUACAGGGGAGUGAUUGCGAUGUUUAUCAUAUUCCUUGAUAAUAUCACUAUGCAUGGGUGUAGUCCUGUCUCACAAUGAUUGCUAAGUAUAAUUGCACUAACUAUGAUAUGCUAGACUGUAUAGUUAAGAAUAACUUAGGAAAUAUUCUUGUAGAUCGUCCUAAUUCCAUGCUAAUGACUUGCUAGAAUAUUUAAUUGAGGUGCUUAUCAUAUUUAUAUGUGGCUAAGUUAUGCUGAUCAGAUUAAUUAUCUUUGUCACCAUUCAUUACUUUAUAUAUCCUUUAUGUGAUACUUAUCCCUGUAUGAAAGAGAUAGAUAAAUGUUCUCAAUUAUACAUGCAAUGAUAGAUACUCAAUCUUAUAUUCCAUUCUAUAAUCAACAUUGAUGUUUAGCAAUCCCUUCCCAGUGGUAAAAAUAUAAAUAAUGAUACCUGGAAUACUUCCCGGUUAAAAUGCUACAUCGGUAUUAAUCUGUGCGCUUGCAGAUCUCAUUUGUUAUUUAUUUAGAAGAGCAAUUGCAUAUUUCAAUACCGCGUCUUUCAUGUCAUGCUGGGGAUGACAACUUGGCUUAAGUGGCAUGAGGGAUAGGUUUGGCAUUUUUGGCACCGUUAUCAGAAUUAGAAAACUAAGUCUACUUUUGGAAGUGACGUUAAGAAUGCCCAACACACAUCAAGGUACCCUCGUAGAUAAACAAGAUAUCUAGACACACCGCAUCUACAUAUUGUCUACCAUCUACCCACCAAUUGAUUGGGUAAACGCUAUACGAGCAAUUACAUGAAUUCAAUAAGAUCAAACCAACUAUCCUAGAUAUAAAAUCAAAGUAGACAAUGACUAUUGCAAUUAAGAAUAUAUAAGAGAUUAAGAACAAUGUUGCCUAAAUCAUAAUAUUGAAUACAAUAAGAGAAAGGUACUAGAGCUAUACUGAACUCCGCGCUCCAGACAGACGACAGGGGUUUGGAUCCCGCUGAAGAACUAGAACUCUUCUACUUCUAAUCUGACUAGGCUAAAACUAUGAACUAGAGAGGCUCUAAUGAACUAGAGAAGGCUCUUGAUGGAUUGAUCUCCAAAUGACUUGAUGCCUCUAGGGAGGGGGGUCUGCCCCUUUAUUUAUAGCCCCGUGGGAUCGACGUGCGCCGCAAGAUCAAACCGACUUAACCAAGGGCGAAAAUGACUCCUCGGAGGCGGUGGAGGAAGCUUCCAGAAGGGGGACCGGCCACCGGCCGACGCCAUGGUGGGGCCGACCGGCCCCACCUGGUGGCCUGUGGCCCCCGAUUUCUUCCGGUCUCCUAGAGUCUUCCACGUCUCAUUCGUGAUCUUUUUCGUGGCGGAUAAGUUUUGUGGUAAAUAUGCACUUGAAUCCCUCUUUUCAGCUUUUCUAGAAAUAGACCCUGGAAAAUACAGAAUAUGCAAAACUCAUUGAAAUUGUCAAUUUAAACCCUAGACUAGUGUGUUUUCAUGUUCUCCUUCGGGUUUAAAGUUCUAAUAAAAGUUGACGUUAUCGACCGUCAACAAUUCCCCCAAGCUUACCUAUUGCCAGUCCCUUGGCAAACCAAGCCUAAGCAGUAUAUGUAUUUAGAUCAAGAGUUGCUACAACAUUUUCAUUCUUUCCAAGUACACAUGCUCCCAAACAAAGAUUCUCUUUCGGAUUAGUCAAUAAAUGCUCUAAUCUUCAAACUUACCCAUUUUACCCUUAACGAUGGGGCUUUAUAACUUCUGCAUGAGUCUUGAGCAAUCAGAAGACAGAACAAUGAGGUUAAGCACUAUGUCUCAAAUUCUUUGCAGAACCAUUAUUUUAGAGUUUUUUAUAAGUUUUCAGAAUAAAACUCAGAGCUUAAUUGUAUGACACCCUCAAGUCUCUCAAUGUAUGUGAUAUUUAUAGUUCUCUCUUGAGGCAUUAAUGAUGCUAUGCCUCCUAUAGCUAAAGGUAUAUAUGGUAGAUCUUACAGGAGUGCCAAUAACAAGGAUAGGCAAACUUGCAAUGCAUGUAUUGUAAAGUCAACUAAUGGAUCCAUAGAGAAUCAAGGCAUACAAUCAAACCAAGGUGUGCAUGUGUAUGGAAUAUGGUGGAUGGGUGCAUUUGUGGUAUUUGUCGCUAAUUUCUAUUUCUUUGGGAAUAACUCUCUAUUGAAACUUUUCAGGAAAGACAUGGGCUAUCAUUGUUUUUUUCAGGGAGGUGGGCAUCUAGUACCCAUUGUUUAAAUUACUGGGACACUUGUCCAUCUUUAACUCCCUUUUCUUCUCUCUUUUUUAAUAACUUUCCUUUUGCAUAGCCACAUGCAUCCUUUGAAUACAAUAUGGUAAUUGGAGAGAUAGCAAUAAGUACCUAGAGCCAUUAAACAAAGGUUGUCCUAUGGGUUUUGUUUAUGUUAGUGUUUACUCCUAGUGUAGGAGAAUAAUGCAUAUGUGAACUAGCGUGUGUACGUGAUCUUAGUUUUAAAAGCAUGACAAGACUCUCAUAAGGUAUACGACAAAGGUUGACUGAACUCAAUGCAAAGCAAGCAGCAUAAAUGUGCAAAAGUUUUCCUAACUCUAAAUGUAUAUUAUAUAUGGCUUUGGUAGGAAUUCAAACUUGUCAUACAAGAGCUCAUCAUGUAAAUUUUAAAUUUUUGAAAUAAAUCUCCAUAACUUAAUAAUGCUAGGAAUAAGAUAUAUAGCAGCUCAGACUUUCAAUGAUCAUAUCAACCAACUACCUAGACUUAGUUCAAACUUAUGCCUCCACAAGUUGCAAGUUCAGAGUAAACCUUCAAAUUAAAACAAUCAUGUCCAAAACUCGUGAGAAUCUACCGUUGGAAUCUAGGUACUUGUAAAGAAUUAUAACAGAGCAACUAUUCAUCAUCUCCAAAACAAAAUUUUAAUGUUCAUCCAUUUUUGUUUAGCUCUAGUUUAGACAGACUCUAAACAGACUCUUACACUUAACUUAUUAUAAACUCACAAAAAGACUCUAACUUGUGGACCUUCAUGUGCCCACAUAUUUUUGGUAUUUAUAUGACUAUAUAGACUCAAAAUCACUUAGGUAUAAUUACCUGAUAACUAGGGGAUGCUCCUCCCCCAAGCUAGAUGGUUGCAAUACUUGGUGUAGACGUCCUUUAGAAUGAGCUAACCAGUAGCAGACCUGGUGAGUGCCACUGAUAGACUCUCUCCUUGCUAUGAUGUUAUUCCUGCAUAAAUACUCUCCACAAAGAGAAACCAAAACUUGAGGCUCAAAUUUGUUAAUGGGUUAGCGGUCAGCCAAAGAGUAAUUGAUCACCUUUAUGAGCUAGCUUUAUUGUUGUCUAAUUUAAACAUGAUUUCAAUUUUCUCUUAUUUUUGAAUUUUCUAUUUAUGAUGCAAGAAUUUAAAUAUGAAUGCUAUAUUUUUUAAGCCACCACAAUAAAUAUUCCUAAGGGGUUACCAUAAGUUUAUUCACAUGGGGCUUGGUAUUUAUGAUGUAGUAAUUAAAGCAGUAAAUAUUUGUUUGUAAUUUGUAUUAAUAUGCUAAGAGAAAUAAAUAUGCUACUAGGUGUAUUAAAGCAAAAUUACUAAUGCAUGCUAACUUAACUAGAUAACUAUCAUUCUUACCUUAUGGCUAGGGUAUGGAAUUUAAAGUCUACCGAUAGGACUUAGAUAGAGAACACUUACUCAGUGGGUUCAUCGUCUGAGGUAACCUCAGUCAACUCCCUGUUUCGUGGUGAUGCGUCACGUGCCUUCUUCCAUCUCAUUUCUAUCUCUUUUGCUUCUUUCUUUUUUGGCUCCAGUUCUUCAACUUUAUUCUCUUUCUCCCACGCUUCUAACUGUGUUGAUAGUUAGGGGAUGUUCUCCCCCAAGCUAGAUGUUUGCUUAUGGUUGAUCGUUGAAGCUGAGUGGUCCUCAUGGAGGAGCUCAUGCUUAUAAGAGCAAGUAUUGCCUGGAAUACUUCAAUCUCAUCACCCAAAAAGUUACUUCAUUCAUACAGGUGUUAGUUGUAUGUUAGAAAGGUGUACUUCAAGUGAUGAAGAUGAAGAUUCCUUGGUAAGCUGGCUUUUGGAGUCAUCCUAUAGAAAGCUCUCACAAAACACCAAAACUCAUGGAACGGUAUUAGGAUAAAAUGUUAAUGAUUAUCGUUUUUGGAGGAUUGGGUGUUGUGAUGGUUUCAAAGUAUUUUUAAGACAACAGUAUUGCAGCAGGAUACUCAGUUAAUAUUUUUGGAUUUUAUGGGUUUAUAUGCAUAAAGUGCAAAUGCAUGAUAUAUAUUUUUAUUCUAUAGGCCACCACAGUAAGAACUCCUACAGCUUUUACACUACAAGGGUUCCACAUGGAGCUUAAUAUAUAUAUAUAUAUAUAUAAUGCAAGACUAUUUAUUUUUGUUAUUUCUAUGCAUUGCCAAUAUAGAAAAGUAAACAUACUAAAGGGAAAUUAACUCAUACAAUGUAAGGAAGUAGAUAUAGAUAACUAUCAAUGUUACCUUACGGUGAGGGUUCGAUGUUUUUAGUCCUUCAAACUGGACUUCUCCUUGCAGUGGUUUAUUGAGUACUUUGAGUUGCUCUUGACGGUAAGGAUUGAGGUGGUGCCUCUACUAGUGGCUCCCAAUAGCGGUGCCACCUUAGUUCUUUCUGUUGUAGGCGUCUCAAAGCCAAUCUUAUGUGCAUCAUUAUAACUAGUUGAAAACCUUCAUAAAGAUAAGGUAGAGAUCAAGUGCAUGGGCUCUAUUGGUGGGAAACACCAACAGAACUAGAAAUUUAUUUAUCCUCUAACCUUGGGCACAAUAAGAUUGAUAUUUUUCAUAUUGUUCAUUCCUAUCAUGGGUGAGAGGACCAGAAGUAUAAAUAUGAUAUUUAAACUUGUGAGAUAAAGAGUAAAGUUACUUAACCAUUAGAAAGGUUAUUCAUCUUUAUAAUAUAUCAAGAAUAAUAGACGAAGUAUUUCUAGCUUACUCGGUUAAGACUGAGAUUACAAGAAUAGCGCUAUGAACAAACUUAGAGAACAAAUCAUGUUGAGUUUAAUCACGUUGAUCAAUUUCAGUUGUAACUCUAAUAUGGUUAUAUUUUCAUUUAUUGCAUACCAAGAUCAAGAAGAAAUUAAUGACCACUUAUCUUAAGGUGCUACCUUCAUUAGUGUGAUGAAGGGUAAAUGAAUUUCAAUGGUCUCUCUCUUUUCUCCUUGCAUCACGGGUUAUUCAUUAGCAUCUUGUCUCGUAUGUUGUACUCCUUUCUCAUUCUUCAAACCUUCUGCUUCUCUCAUUAUGUCUUCUCUGCAAGGGGUUAGUAGAGAACACAUACCCGAAGGAAUAUACUAUUUAUCAAAGUAUGGAUAGUGUUUGCCUAAGAGUUAAAGAUAAAUUUGUAGCUCAUAUUUUCAAUGAUUCACUAAUUUAAUUAAUAUAUUAUAUAUAUAUCAAGAUUAAAGCAAGGAUAUUAUUUUGAAGCAUAUUCUUAACUUGAAUUGAUUCUAUGAAUAGUCUCCUAAUAUGAUUUAAACAUUUUUUAAGUAGGAGGGGUUAGUCUAUAUGUAUAAAUAAAUUCUUAUAUAAGUAUGCUUGAUUUUCAUAAUCUUUAAGUAAUAUUCUAAAGCAUACUUAUAAUAGAAUAAGGAAGUUUGCAAGACUAAAGGUAUUUAUUCACAUAGAACCAAGAAUAUGUAUGGUGAACCACAGGAGCAUUUUAUUAUAUAUUUUAGCAAGUUAUGUUUGAGCAUAGCAUAGGGUAGAAAUGACCAAGACAAAUUAGCAACAUGGUAUGAGAUGUUAUUGUAGUUACAUGUUGCAUGAGGCUUGGACAAACGUACCUCAUAUCUUCAUCUUUCUAAGUAAGUGAUGAUGAACUUACUUGGAAGAGGAGGGUUUGGGUUCAUCUGUUGGUGAGAGCUCCUCGUCUUGCUGAGCAAGGCCUUCCUUUUAUUCUUCGCCUUUCACCAUUCAAUGAAACUAUAGAAGAUUGCAUGCUCUUCACUCAUCAACCUUUUUCUGACUUCUUUGAUUAAUUUGCGGUUGAUGAGCUAGGGUCUUUCGGAGAUGCAAUAAUGUUCACUUGAAAACUUCUUCUCCAAUAGAUUAAGGUUGUUCUUUCCUGCAAAACGUUAAUGGACACAUACCCGAGGGAAUAACAAGAUUGAAAUACGGGUUUUGUUGUCCAUACUUUUUUUGUGAUUUUCUUCUAUGCUAAUUAAGAUGAUAUAUGGUUUAAGAUUAUUUAGCAUAAAUUGUGUCUAUUGUGUUUUAUGUUGUUGUUGCAAUCUACCAUGGUUCAAGGAAAAGAUAACUUGUAACAAAAGAUAAAUGGAUAAAUAUUACUACUCACAAGUUGAACUUUUUGUGCAAAGUUAUCAUCUGCCUUGAUUCAUCCUUGAUGUGAACUUAUAUCUUGACUUUCCCAGAUUUAAUUCAAAAUUUUCUUGUAGGGAUUAGUCCAACAAAAUAUUCAGUAUACACUACAACAUACUAUCGGCUCAAAAAUCAACCUAGAGACCACAUCUAAUUUGACUUAGGAAGGUAUUUUAAUCUGAGCUCAGUUUAAAAGCCUUUUAAAAGUAAAACCACUUCUCCAAAACUAAGCACCAUGCUUCAUUUAAGAGAUUUAUGAAAGUACUUCAAAGCCUAAACAUAUAUCAUAGCAAAUAAAGGUAACAUGAAAAUAUAGUAGAGAUUUAUUCAGAUAGAGAUAAAAGAGCAUGAUCAUGGUGAGUUUUUUAUAAUGCAUGUGAGAUGAAUAUAUGAAAUGGAACAAGUUAUGAGGAAAUUUAAAUUAAAUAGUCUGAAUAUAUGGAUUAAUGUAAACAUGCAGUGGAAUAUAAAAAUAACUACUCAUAAUUGUUGAAGUCCAUGAGCAAGACUUUCUCACCUUUAUUUGAUCAUACUUACCAUGACUCACAUUCUGGAAUUUGUGAGUGAUGCAACAUCUUUGUUCCCAUCACUUGAGAUAUGAAUUAAAGUCCUAUGACAUCGACCUCUUUCUCCAACAUUGGAUUUCUUCUUAUUUUGUGGGGGCAUGCUGGAAGGUCAUAAACCGGUUGUUUAUUACCCUGCAUAAGAUUAUAAAGUAGACAAACAAGGGUAAUCCUGCUUGAGCAGGGGUUAAUGGUUAUCUCAAUCACAUAAUUGAGUAUAAGUCUAUCAAUGUUCGCCUAGCUACCUUCCUCAGCAACGGUGCCAAAAAUGCUUGUUGGUAUAAAUUAACUGCACUCCUUUAAAUAAUAUUUAAGUAAGAUUAUCCGCAAGUGCACAGAUAUCGUACCAAUUUCACAUUUUACCCGGGGGUUUUAAAUAUCGUAUCCACAGGGAAGGUCUAUAUGUAGGACUUAUAACUAUAACUUCUACUAUUGGUGUGAACGAUAAACCAUAACUAAAAUUUUGCUCAUAAUAGGGAUAAGUCACUUGAUAAAAGAUAUAAGAUAAAUAAUGAUCAAUCAUCAUAAAUAGAUAAAUAUCAGAGUUCUUCUAGUCAUAGUAAUAACUAGCCAUUGGAUAAACUCAGGAAUAAAUACUAAGGUAAUUCUAUAACUACAUCAAUGAAUAACUCUAAUUAGUGCAAUUAUAUUUAGAAAUCAUUGUUAAGUCAACCCAUAAUUACAUGUAAAGAGACAUCAACUAAUGAGGGUUUUAAGACGCAACCGUCACCUCCUUCACGACCGCGCCCAAGCUUGCCCAACAUACGGGGGGUGGACUACAGAAGAACCAACGCAGCUGUCACCUACGCAGACUACAACAUGACCCGACACAUCAAGGUGCCCUCGUAGAUAAACAAGAUAUCUAGACACCACGUCUACAUAUUGUCUACCAUCUACCCACCAAUUGAUUGGGUAAACGCUAUACGAGCAAUUACAUGAAUUCAAUAAGAUCAAACCAACUAUUCUAGACAUAUAAUCAAAGUAGACAAUGACUAUUGCAAUUAAGAAUAUAUUAGAGAUUAAGAACAAUGUUGCCUAAAUCAUAAUAUUGAAUACAAUAAGAGAAAGGUACUACAACUAUACCGAACUCUGCGCUCUAGACAGACGCUAGGGGCUCCAGAUCCCGCUGAAGAACUAGAACUCUUCUACUUCUAAUCUAACUAGGCUAAAACUAUGAACUAGAGAGGUUCUGAUGAACUAGAGAAGGCUCUUGAUGGAUUGAUCUCCAAAUGACUUGAUGCCUCCAGGGAGGGGGUCUGCCCCUUUAUUUAUAGCCCGGUGGGAUUGACGUGCGCCGCAGGAUCAAACCGACUGAACCAAGGGCCAAGAUGACUCCUCGGAGGCGGUGGAGGAAGCUUCCAGAAGGGGGCCAAAACCCUAAUAGGGGGGCACCGACCGGUGCCAUGGUGGGGCCAGCCGGCCCCACCUGGUGGCCUCUGGCCCUCGGUUUCUUCUGGUGUCUUCCAGAGUCUUCCACGUCCCGUUCAUCAUCUUUUUUGUGGCGGAUAAGUUUUGUGGUAAAUAUGCACUUGAAUUCCUCUUUUCAGCUUUUCUGGAAAUAGACCCUAGAAAAUACAGAAUAUGCAAAAUUCGUGGAAAUUGUCAGUUCAAACCCUAGACUAGUGUGUUUUCAUGUUCUUCUUCGGGUUUAAAGUUCUAAUAAAAGUUGACGUUAUCGAACGUCAACAGUGUCCCUCUAUACUUCCUUCACACUUUGUAAUUUGCCAGACUUAAUUUCUAGUUGCUUUAAUUUUACUUUUUCAGCAGUCUCUUUAAAUAGACAUAAUUCUAAGUAAACAAAAUUCUUUCAGCAAAGUCAAUCGAUUCUGGAUAGGUCAAAACCUUAUCAGCAAAAACAACCGAUCCAUCACUUAGAUCUAUCACAACUACAGUUAAACAGAUUGGCUAUUUUAGUCAACCCAUGUUCCUCAUAUAACAGAGACAUUUUUGACUUAGCUGAUCCAUUUACCCCAAAUAGUGGAAAUGUCCUCAAUUUAGCUGAUCCACUCCUUCUAAGGAAUUAACUACAUGUUGUUCUGCCUUCUACUUAUCCCUUUAUAAAUAACACUGAUGCCCCCGAGGGGAAAAUCACUCAGCCCUUGGUCUUUCAUCUUCAUCCUCUCAACCUUCAAAUCAUCCAUCUUCCAUCAAACCCUAACUUAACCCAAUGGCGGAUAGUAGGAGCAAGCAUCCAGCAUCACCCUCCUCCGAGGAGGAGGUGAACUCCAUGCAGCGCCGGUGGUUGAACAGGUAUCCUAAAUAUUUCACCUUCUUCUUUCUUGAAUCAUUACCUAUUCUUUUACUCUUUUGUAGCCCUACCCCCCGAGCUAAUUUUGGGGCAGGCCCUAGUCAUUUGGCAAGGACAACAUCAGCAUUUUCUUUGCCUCAAGUAGCAGUAGCCUUUGAGGAGGCUGCUACAAACUAGGCAGCCAAAGCAAGCUAGGAGGUUUCAGAACCGCUUGGCCACGAAGACGCUCUGGGGCAUCUUUGACAAUGAGGACGCUUAGGAUUUCCUCCAAUGUCUUCACGAAGCCCAGAACCUCUACUCCGAGGAAUGCAAGAGGUCCCACUGUCUCCAAGAGAAGCUCUGAAAGGUCCUAUGGCUAGAGGGGGGGUGAAUAGCCUAUUUAAAAAAUCUACAAACUCACUAGAGCAAGAGGUUAGUAAAUAACAAAGCGUAGCUUUUUGCUCUAGAUCUAAAAGGGGUGUUUGCAAGCCACCUAUCCAAUAAUUCUAGUAGCUAUGAUCACUAUGCACACAAGCUCUAGGUCUUCUACAAGUUACACUAGUGAGCUUAACUACACAAGUCAAAACUAGCAACUAAAACAAGUUACACUACUUUGCGGUAAGUAAAAGGAGAGGAAAAGAUAUUUAUACUGCCGUGUAGGGGAUGAACCAAUCACCAAUAUAUCAACAAUCAAGCACCGGGAGAAUGCCAAUCAAUCACAAUUGAGACACCAAUUUUUCUCUCGAGGUUCACGUGCUUACCGGCACGCUACGUCCCCAUUGUGUCGACCAACACUUGGUGGUUCGGUGGCUAAGAGGUGUAGCACGAACCUCGUCCUCACUAGGACACCACAAGAACCUACCCACAAGUGAGGUAGCUCAAUGACACGAGCAAUCCACUAAUGUUGCCUUUGGCUCUCCGCCGAGGUAGGCACAAACCUCUCACAAUCACCGAGAGAUGGCCACGAACAAUCACCAACUCGUGCCAAAGCUCCUCCGCAGCUCCAAGCCGUCUAGGUGGUGGCAACCACCAAGAGUAACAAGCAAACCCGCUGCUCAACGAUCACUAGUGCCACUAGAUGCUCAAACUCUAAGCAAAUGCAACUAGGAUCUCUCCCAAUCUCACUUUGGAUGAACAAAUCUUGAACAAGGUGAGUGGGAAGUGUGGGAGUAUGCUCACAAGGUGUAUCAACAAGUUAGAGAGUCAAGAGGGUGAGCAAGAACCGGCCAAGGCUUAUUUAUAGAAGUCCCAACCUUCAACUAGCCGUUGACAGUUUAUCCCACAGUCUGCGUUCACACCGGACGCGUCCUAGUUCACACCGGAUGCGUCCGGUGCUCCUGACUGUUAAAAAAGGAGCCGUUGCCUCUGACACCGACAAGGCACCGGACGCUUGCUUUUGAAAUACCGGACGCGUCCGGUGUCACACCGGACCCAAACUCAGGGAGCGUCGCAAACUUGAGCCAACACCGGUCGCCACACCGGACGCACACACCGGACGCGUCCGGUGUGCACCGGACUCACACCCAGAGAGCUCUGCAGGAGGAGUUUGCACCGGACGCUAACUCGGACGCGUCCUAGUUCACACCGGACGCAUUCGGUGUGCACCGGACGCAAACUCUGAGAGUUUCACUGAGAAACGAACUCACCGGACGAGGCACACCGGACUCUACGCGAAAACUGUUUCCGCGUUCGGUGCCUCAACUCGCACGCGUCCGACCUCAUACCGGACGCGUCCAGCCUGAAAGCACUGCGCGAAAAGUUUCUCAACUUCUACCCUUGCUUCCAUGUGCCAACACCAAAGUGUCUCCACACUUGUGCACGUGUGUUAGCAUAUUUCAAAAACAUUUUUCAAGGGUUACUUAGUUAGCUCACUAGGUCCUAAUGCACAUGCAAGGAAUCCAAUCACCUAGUGUCACUUAGACAACCGUUUUCACAACGAGAUUACCCCUCUUAAUAGUACGGCUAUCUAUCCUAAAUGUGAUCACACCCUCUAUGGUGUCUUGAUCACCAAAACCAAAACCCUAAGCAAUACCUUUGUCUUGAUCUCCAUAGGGUUUUGUUUUUCUCUUUCUUCUUUUCCAAGUUUAGCACUUUAUCAUCUUGUGGUCAUCACCAUCAUCACCAUGAUCAUUACUUGCUCCAUCACUUGGCAUGUACCAACCUCAUUAAGUCUACACACACUUAGUAUAGAGGUUAGUGCUAGGGUUUCAUCAAUUAUCCAAAACCCAACUAGGGCUUUCAAUCUCCCCCUUUUUGGUAAUUGAUGACAACCCUUUUUCCAAAGAUUUUCAAUAAAAUUUUCUUGGAUUCAUGUUGCUUGCCCAAGCAUUUACCAUGUGCAAAGGUUAUGGACAAGUUUCAUAAGCCCAAAUUAGUAGCAAUUGCUCCCCCUACAUAUGUGCUAAGAGUUUGGAUUUGAAAGCUUGCACAUAUGCUUGAAUAGGAAAAAAUAGGAGUCAAUUUCUACCAAAUGAUGCUAAGGUGUAAAGAAUAGACCUUUGAAGCGUGAUACCAAUCGGAGUUGCCAAUGUAUGCCAUCCUUAGCACCAUUAGUAACUAGACAUUCACAAAACUAGAACACCUCGUGAGAUCAACAUUAUAAACAAGAUUCUAGUACCACUUGUGAAACAACGAAAAGUCUAGUUACACUAUCUAUGCAUGCUAGUUCUUCAUUUCAUCAAUCAAGCCUACAACUAGCAUACACCACACAAGCAAAGUAUCGGAGAGAAAGCUUCUAAAGCUAAAUGCAAAUGCAAGCAACCAUAUGUGAUGCACCUACAAAUGCAACAUACAAGUUUAUGAGCUUGCUCCCCCUACUUGUGUGCUUCAAAAUUUUAAUUGAUCCCCUUCCUUUAUCAUGUUACCUUCUUUUAUCAUGUUACUCCCCUAUCUUUAAUCUUUGGGAAAUUCUCUCCCCCUUUGUCAUCAAAGACCACAAAAGUUGAGCUCAAAUUUUAGAAAGGUUAGUGUGAAACCAUGUGGAGUGAGAUCAUUUCCCCAAAUUGGUCCAAUCUAGAUUACUUGCCUAAGAUAUUUAACUCGGUUUGAUCCAAGGACAAGCUUCUUCACACCUCCAAAUAAGGGUUAUCUUGUACCAUGUUGAGUUAAACACUUAUAGCUCAUAUUCUAGAUCAAACACUAGGAUUGCAAGCCCACAAACAUGUCAUAUGCUACCACUAGAUCAAGUCAAGCAUAAAAGCAAUAGUGGUACCAUACAAGCAUCAAAUUCAUUUGAUUUUCAUGAAUGAUCCUAAGAUAUGUAAGGAAUGACUAGAUGCACUAAGCAAGUCCUUAGCAUAGGAUGAAUGACAUGUCAAUCAAUUUUACCUUGCUUUGCUCGAAGGAGAGGUAUGUCAUAUAGUGGGGGUGCAUCAACACAUAUUUGAGAAGUCAAGUAUGUUCAAUUCAUUCCUUAGCUUGCAAAAUCUCUUCUCAUCAAGUGGCUUGGUGAAUAUAUCGACAAGUUGAUCAUCAGUGCCUAUACUCUUAAUGCAAAUGUCCUCUUUUUGUUGGUGAUCUCUUAUGAAAUGAUGGCGGACAUCUAUGUGCUUUGUUCUUGAGUGUUGAACCGGACUGUUGGUGAGUUUUACGGCACUUUCAUUGUCACAUAGCAAUGGCACUUCUUUGAAACUGAUUCCAAAGUCCUUCAAUGUUGCCUUCAUCCAUAGAAUUUGUGCACAACAACUAUCGGCCGCAAUGUACUCCACUUCGGCGGUUGAUAAUGCAACACUAUUUUGCUUCUUGGAUGACCAUGAGACAAGUGAUCUUCCCAAUAGUUGACAUGUGCCCGAUGUGCUUCUUCUCUCAACUUUGCAUCCCGCAUAGUCCGAAUCGGAAUAUCCAACAAGUUCAAACUUUGCACCUUUGGGAUACCAUAAACCAACAUUUUGUGUAUGCUUCAAGUACCUCAAUAUUCUCUUUGUUGCUUUCAAAUGACUUUCUCUUGGUGAGGCUUGGAAUCUUGCACACAUGCAUACACUAAACAUGACAUCCGGUCUUGAUGCGGUCACAUAGAGUAGGCUUCCAAUCAUAGACCGAUACAACUUUUGAUCCACCAUAUUUCCACUUGUAUCACUAUCUAGGCUUCCAUUUGUUCCCAUUAGAGUGCUAAUUGAUUUUGCAUCAUCCAUACCAAACUUCUUGAGCAUGUCUUUUAUGUACUUGCCUUGACUCACAAAUGUGCCAUUCUUCAAUUGCUUAAUUUGAAGACCAAGGAAGUAACUAAGCUCUCCAAUUAUUGACAUCUCAAAUUCAUUAGCCAUCAUGUUGCCAAACUCUUCACAAAAUUCUUGAUUGGUUGAUCCAAAUAUGAUAUCAUCAACAUAUAUUUGCAACACAAACAAGACCUUGCCAAUCUUCUUGGUGAAGAGAGUGGUGUCAACCUUGCCCAUAUUGAAACCUUUAGAGAGUAAGAAGUCUCUCAAUCUCUCAUACCAUGCUCUUGGUGCUUGCUUCAAACCAUACAAUGUCUUUCUAAGCUUGUAAACAUGGUUGGGUUUCUUGUCAUCUUCAAAACUGGGAGGUUGCUCAACAUAAACUUCUUCAUUGAUAUAGCCAUUGAGAAAAGCACUCUUGACAUCCAUUUGGUAUAGCUUGAUAUUAUAAGCACAAGCAUAGGCCAACAAGAUCCUAAUUGCUUCCAAUCUUGCAACCGGGGCAUAUGUUUCACCAAAGUCAAGACCUUCAACUUGAGUAUAGCCUUGUGCUACCAAUCUUGCUUUGUUCCUUACAACUAUCCCAUCUUGAUCUUGUUUGUUGCGAAAGACCCAUCUGACAUUAUGAUCACUAGGCCUCUCAACUAAUUCCCAUACUUGAUUUCUCUUGAAGUUAUUAAGCUCUUCAUGCAUAGCAUUAACCCAAUCAACAUCUCUCAAUGCUUCAUCAAUCUUCUUUGGCUCAAUGUGAGACACAAAGGAGAAAUGCUCACAAAAUGAUGCUAGUCUUGAUCUAGUUUGCACUCCUCUUUGAAUGUCACCUAUGAUAUGAUCCAAUGGAUGAUCUCUUGCAAUGUUUGUUGGUUGGAGUAUUUGCACUUGAUUGCUUGAACUUGGUUGAUCAUGAGAUGAUGUACUAGCUUGUUGAUCUUGCACUUGAGUACCACUUGUACUAGCUUGAUUUUGAUCACUAGUUUGCACAUUAGAGGUAGGGAGCACUUGAUCUUUGUCAUCUUCAACAUCAAUCACCUCUCUAGGCCUUAAAUCACCAAUAUCCAUAUUUUUCAUUGCAUCGGCCAAUUGAGUGCCUCUCACAUCAUCUAGAUUCUCAUCUUCCUCUUGAGAGCCAUUUGUUUCAUCAAACUCAACAUCAUGCACCUCCUCAAGAGUACCACUAGCCAAAUUCCAAACUCUAUAAGCUUUGCUAGUAGUGGAGUAACCAAGCAAGAAACCUUCAUCACAUUUCUUUUCAAAUUUACUCAAUCUAGUGCCUUUCUUCAAUAUGUAGCAUUUGCAACCAAAAACCCGAAAGUAUGCAAUAUUGGGCUUUCUUCCAUUCAAGAGCUCAUAUGGUGUCUUUUCCAUCAUUGGGUGACAAUAGAGUCGGUUGCUAUAGUAGCAAGCCGUGUUGAUUGCUUCGGCCCAAAAAGAAUGACUCACAUUGUAUUCACUCAACAUUGAUCUUGCCAUGUCAAUCAAUGUUCUAUUCUUCCUCUCAACAAGACCAUUUGAUUGUGGAGUGUACUUGGCCGAGAAUUGAUGCCUAAUACCAAAUUCAUCACAAAGCUCAUCAACUCUUGUAUUCUUGAAUUCACUUCCAUUGUCACUUCUCACUUUCUUGAUGGUUGUUUCAAACUCAUUGUGUACUCUCUUGACAAAUGAUUUGAAGGUUGCAAAGGCAUCACUCUUGUCACUAAGAAAGAAUACCCAUGUGUAUCUUGUGAAAUCAUCCACUAUCACAAAUCCAUAUUUGUUUCCACCAAUGCUUGUGUAUGUGGUUGGUCCAAAUAAGUCCAUGUGCAACAACUCAAAUGCCUUGCAUGUACUCAUGAUGCUCUUCUUUGGCUGAGUGUUGCCAACUUGUUUUCCGGCUUGACAUGCACUACAAAGCUUGUCUUUCUCAAAUGUGACAUCUUUCAAGCCUCUAACAAGAUCAUGCUUGACUAACUUGUUUAAUUGUUUCAUUCCAACAUGACCAAGCCUUCUAUGCCAUAACCAACCCAUGCUAGAUUUAGUGAGCAAGCAUGUUGACAAUUGAGCUUCACUAGCAUUGAAAUCAACCAAGUAUAGAUUCUCAUAUCUAAAGCCUUUGAAUAUCAAGUUUGAGCCAUCUACACUUAUGAUCUCUACAUCAUCAACUCCAAAGAUGCAUUUGAAACCAAGAUCACAAAGUUGAGCUACGGAUAGCAAGUUGAGUUCAAGCUCUCUACUAGUAGCACAUUGGAAAUGCUCAAAUCAUUGGAUAUAGCAAUUUUACCAAGCCCUUUGACCUUGCCUUUGCCAUUAUCACCAAAUGUGAUACUAUCAACUCCAUUGUCAUCAUUUGGAUUGAUUGAAUUGAACAUUCUUGAAUCACCGGUCAUGUGUUGUGUGCACCCACUAUCAAGCACCCAAUGCCUUCCUCCGUCUUUAUAGUUUACCUACAAAACAAAUCAAUGUUUCUUAGGUACCCAUACUUGUUUGGGUCCUUGGAGGUUAGUGACUAAGCUUUUUGGUACCCAAAUGGCCUUCUUCUUUGGACCCACAAUUGGUGUACCAACAAACUUAGCAUGCACACCCUUCUCACCCUUGGUAAGCACAUAACAAGAAUCAAAAGGAAUGUAAGGUACAUUAGCAUUUUUCUUGUUCUUGUUCAUUUUAUUGCAAUUAAGCUCUAGGUGCCCAACUUGCUUGCAUUUGUAGCAAUACCGACCAUUGCUCUUCACAAAGCUAGGCUUGUGAGUUGCAAAGGCUUUCUUGCCCUUCUUGGGGGUAUAGCCUAAUCCCUCUUUGUUGAGAGAAAACCUUUGGCUACCCAAGCACUUUAGCAAGCGGGCCUCACCACCAUAGGCCUUGCCUAGGGCAUGAGUGAGCUCAUCCACCUCUCUCUUGAGAGUCUCAUUCUCAACCUUUAGUGAAGCAUCACAAGUGACACUAACACUAGAAGUGGAGGUAGAGUUGGUGGUGGUGGAUGAAGACCUACAAGAAGUGUUAGUGCCAACAGCAAUAGGUAGGUUGAGUGAUUCUUUAAUUAAGUCACAUGUUGUUCCCACAUCACAUGAUACAACAACCUUUUCCUUGUUCUCUUCUAACAACAAGGAGUGAGCUUUCUCAAGCUUGGUGUGAGCCUUACCAAGCUUCUCAUGGGCUUCCACUAGCCUCUCAUGAUUAGCAUUGAGCUCAUCAAAGGAUUGCUCAAGAGCUUUUAACUUCUUGGCCAAUUCUUUGCACUUCUUGUUUUUAGAUUGAAUGAGAGAAUCGGCUUGUUCUAACAUGUCCAUGAGUUGUUCAUUAGUGAAUUCAUUUUCAUCAUCACUAUCACUAUCAUGUUCACGUUCAGUUUCACUUUCACUCUCAUCAUGUUCUACCUUGUGGCCCUUGGCCAUGAAGCAUGAAGGAGUGUCGAAGAGUGAUGGCUUGUUGUUGAUAGCAAUGCUAGCAAGUGCCUUCUUCUUGGAUGCUUUGUCAUCAUCACUUGAAUCAUCAUCCGAAGAGGCAUCACUAUCCCAUGUCACAACAUAGGAUCCACCCUUCUACUUUUUCUUGAAGACCAUCUUCUUCUCUUUCUUUUCUUUCUUCUCCUUCUUGUUCUUCUUCUCAUGCUCAUCAUGAUCACUAUUGUAUGGACAAUCCGCCACAAUAUGAUCGGGGCUUUUGCACUUGUAGCAUAGCCUCACAUGCUCCUUGUUCUUGAAGUGAUCUCUUCUCUUUCUUGUGUGAUACCCCUUCUUCUUCAUCAUCUUGCCAAACAUGCGGACAAAGAGUGCUAGUGCUUCAUCAUCACUAUCAUCAUUGCAGCACUCCUCAUCACUUGAUUCUUCCUUCUUGGCCUUUCCCUUGUUCUUGCUCUUGGAAGAAGAGCUAGUUUUGAAUGCUACACUCUUCUUCUUCUUGUCAUCAUCAUCCUUUUUCAUGACCUCAUCAUCAUCAUUGUCAUUGUAUUGAUCUUCGGUCAUGACAUCUCCAAGUACCUCAUUGGGAGAUACACCGGUCAAUCCAAGUCUAAAGAUGAUUGUUCUCAAUGUCUUGAAUCUCUUGGGCAAGCACAUUAAGAACUUGUGAAUGAAAUCCUCAUCCUUCACUUUCUCACCAAGGCCCUUGAGAUCAUUGAUGAUGACUUGGAGCCUAUAGAACAUCUCCGGAAUUGACUCAUCAUCCUUCAUCUUGAAGUUUGAAAGCUUGUCCUUGAGCAUGUAUAACUUGGCACUUUUUACCGUUGUAGUGCCCUCAUAUGUUUCUUCUAGUCUUGUCCACACUUCACUUGCCUUCUUAAGAUCUUUGACUUGUUCAAAUACUUUUGAAUCAAUGCCAUUGUAUAUUGCGUUGAGAGCCAUAGUAUUGCAUUGCUUGUUUGCUCUCUCAUUGUCGGUGGGGUUAGCUGGAUCAAGAAUCACAAAGUCAUUUUCGGUGACUUCCCACACUCUAUCAUUUAUUGAUCCAAGAUACAUUUUCAUCUUUCUCUUCCAAUAGUCAAAAGAACUUGUGCCAUCAAAGAACGGUGGUUUGCCCCCAACAUGGUUGAACACUAUUUGAGCCAUAAUUUGAGCACCGAGGUUGUUAAGCCUUCACAAAUGGUGACCACGGCUCCGAUACCACUUGAAAGGUCCUAAUAUGGCUAGAGGGCGGGUGAAUAACCUAUUUAAAAAACCUACAAACUCACUAGAGCAAGAGGUUAGUAAAUAACAAAGCGUAGCUUUUUGCUCUAGCUCUAAAAGGGGUGUUUGCAAGCCACCUAUCCAAUAAUUCUAGUUGCUAUGAUCACUAUGCACACAAGCUCUAGGUCUUCUACAGGUUACACUAGUGAGCUUAACUACACAAGUCAAAACUAGCAACUAAAACAAGUUACACUACUUUGCGGUAAGUAAAAGGAGAGGAAAAGAUAUUUAUACCGCCGUGUAGGGGAUGAACCAAUCACCAAUAUAUCAAAAUCAAGCACCGGGAGAAUGCCAAUCAAUCACAAUUGAGACACCGAUUUUUCUCCCGAGGUUCACGUGCUUGCCGGCACGCUACGUCCCCGUUGUGUCGACCAACACUUGGUGGUUCGGUGGCUAAGAGGUGUAGCACGAACCUCGUCCUCACUAGGACACCACAAGAACCUACCCACAAGUGAGGUAGCUCAAUGACACGAGCAAUCCACUAAUGUUGCCUUUGGCUCUCCACCGAGGUAGGAACAAACCUCUCACAAUCACCGGGAGAUGGCCACGAACAAUCACCAACUCGUGCCAAAGCUCCUCCGCAGCUCCAAGCCGUCUAGGUGGCGGUAACCACCAAGAGUAACAAGCAAACCCGCUGCUCAACGAUCACUAGUGCCACUAGAUGCUCAAACUCUAAGCAAAUGCAACUAGGAUCUCUCCCAAUCUAACUUUGGAUGAACAAAUCUUGAACAAGGUGAGUGGGAAGUGUGGGAGUAUGCUCACAAGGUGUAUCAACAAGUUAGAGAGUCAAGAGGGUGAGCAAGAACCGGCCAAGGCUUAUUUAUAGAAGUCCCAACCUUCAACUAGCCGUUGAUAGUUUAUCCCACAGUCUGCGUUCACACCGGACGCGUCCUAGUUCACACCGGACGCGUCCGGUAUGAGCCAGACCAGCGUCCGGUGCUCCUGGCCGUUAAAAAAGGAGUCGUUGCCUCUGACACUGACAAGGCACCGGACGCUCGCUUUUAAAAUACCAGACGCGUCCGGUAUGCACCGGACCCAAACUCAGGGAGCGUCGCAAACUUGAGCCAACACCGGUCGCCACACCAAACGCACACACCGGACGCGUCCGGUGUGCACCGGACUCACACCCAGAGAGCUCUGCAGGAGGAGUUUGCACCGGACGCUAACUCGGACGCGUCCUAGUUCACAUCGGACGCGUCUGGUGUGCACCGAACGCAAACUCCGAGAGUUUCACGGAGAAACGAACUCACCGGACGAGGCACACCGGACUCUACGUGAAAACUCUUUCCGCGUCCGGUGCCUCAACUCGGACGCGCCCGCCCACCCCCCUUGGGCGCCCGCCCAGGUGUUUCCACCAAUCACAGAAUGGAGUACACCAUUGCAAUGAUCUCGUCGAGCUGAUCGAAAUGCAUAUAUUACUUGCUAUAUUUGGAGUUCGGAAUCAAAAGAUAUUAAUAAAAGAAGGACUCCACAUAAAAGAGCUGCGGGAUUAAUUGGGCCCAAAUCAGAUUUUGGUCCAUUAAGGCCUAUGUGCAUUUUAAUGAGAUAUGGUGGAAAGUUUAGUACCACAUCGCCUGCUGAACCAAAAACGCACAGAGGAGGAGGACUAUAUAAGCAAGGCCCCUGGCCCCUGGAGAAGACAAGAAAUUAUCAUAGAGAUUGAGGGGUGCCCUCGAAGGAAAACCUCUUCUCUAAAUAAUAUUUCUUUUUAGGCUUAGCAACCAAUGUAAAGUAGAAAUAGGUCUUCUAGUUUCUACUAGAUUGAGAGAGAUAGAGUGGAGGUGUGGAUCGGAGGAAGGCCGGCCUGUCGGUGUCUACUCCGAGUUGUACCUGCGGGAUCAAGUCUCCUAACCCGAGGCUUGCUUCUAAGAUUCUUCAGUAAUUCGACUUCUAAUACUAGUAAGUUCUUGUUUUAUUGUUCUUUGGUUUAUGAGUUUACUUUAAUCCUAUUCCGGUUGAGUAUUAGAGUAAUCACUUGCUAGCGUAAACGUGGUGUUUAGGCUAGGGUACUCAUAGAUAUCCCCUAACUAGCUAGACCGUGGUAGUAGCGAGGAACGUGACAUUUCCGAGUUACCUUUGCAGAUCACAUCUCGUUAGCAGGACGGGUAGGUUUAUAGGUGCGGGUCGAACAUCCUUUGUGUUGUCUAGAUUCCGUGAGCCUCCUCAAUAGAACAGUAGAUCAUCCUUACCAAGGUUGGAACGAGACUACGGUUGCAGUCUUCUCUAUACAUCACUCACAUCGAGAGACAUUCUUUGUAGCCUAAAGGGAUAGUAGCAAUAGAUUUGGUUAGUCAGAUGCACCCUUUCUCCCAGUGGUAAAAAUAUAAAUACGAUAACUCUAGAUAACCUCCCGGGUGAAAUGCUCACCGAUAUCCGUGCGCUUGCGGAUCAUUUUCUUAUUGCGUUACCAAAUAUCAACAAGCAUUUCUGGCGCCGUUGCCGGGGAGAAAGACGGUUUGCUGAGAUAACUUUGAGUCUUGCUAUUAUCUUGUAUUAUACUUUUAUUCUUUUAUCUUUUUAUUUUUAUCUUUAUGGAUAACUUAAAUUCCAUACCUAUUAUUGAAUUUUUGCACCUUCGGAGACCAGCCAUAGACCAUGGGAGUCAACAAGUCCUGCCCCUAAUUAUGAUCUAUGUCCGGAGUUGAUUGCAAUAGGUCAAAACCAACCCUUUUCUAUAGCCGAGGUCCUAUCUUUUAAUCAAGAAGAUAAUGCACUUUUAGCUACACCUAGGGAAUCUUUUAAUCUUUCUAUAAAUUCUGGUUUAAACCUAGCCCUACAAGACCAUGUUUUUUCUAGAUAUUUUCACAUUGGUCUUAAUCAAUAACCUUUGGUAGAGUCCUUCUUUCUUUAUCUAUUAGUAAAGGAAGGUAUGUCUUCAUUCGUGAACAUCCUUCUUGUACUAGUCUUUAUAGAAAAAUCUUAGAGAUAGAGAAGGAAUCAUCUCCCAUACAAGAAGAGGAAGUUUCAAUAACCGAUUUCCAAACAUUUCAAUCCCAUAAUUCGGCUAUCCAACCCAUCCUAGAGUUUAAUAAAUUCUACUAUGCUCUUUCUCUUGAACCUCCCGAUAAUCCUGUGAAUCUCUCUAGACAUCCCAUGCAUAAGGAGGAUCGAGAAGAGCAACAUCGAUGGCUGGAGGGCAUUAAAAAUCCAUGUGCUGUCACCAUUGAAUGGAUAGAUAAAACAAACUUGAGAGACAAUCCUAGAGGAAUUUUAAACAUUCAUGAAGAAUCAUCCUUGGAGUUUGAGAAUGAGAGAAAUAACAGUGAGCAUGGAAGUUAUUUCAUAAAUACCUUACCAAGUCCUUGCUCAUAUAAAACAUCUCCCCAAUCAAUCGGUCUCUCCAUCAUCACCACAUUUGAGAUCUCCAACCCCCUCUUCCUUUUUAUUUAUAAAAACUUUAAAAGGGCGGUUGUCGAUGCAUAUGUCUAUAAUAAAUAUUGCAGAUCUCGUUGAGUUGAUCUUGAUAUAGGUAGGUGUUGGAGGGGAAACCACUUUACCAACAUAACUUGAUGGUUUUCCAAGGAUAAGCUUAGCGUCCUUAAACGAGCACUUAUCAGAUCGUAACAUGAACUUCUAAUUAUUUGCAACAUUGCCUUGUGUAUUGAGCAUAUUGAGAUAAUUAUAGAAAUAUUCCUUCGGGUAUUCUUGCCACUAACCUUUCCAGGAUUGGAGCAAGAAGAUCGGAUGAAUGACAAGCGCAAGGUAUGCCCAACCAAUCAUCAUGUAACAUUAAAUUAAAUUCAUCCAAUCUUGAAUUUUGCAAAAUUCAAGCUUGGGGGAGUACUUUACAUAAAACAUCCUUUGCCAUGCUGCUAUAUUGGUUGUCCUUACCUUUGAGACAUGCUCAAUUUGUUAAAUACUAAUCACACUACUUCAUCUCCACUUGAGUAGAUCUCUAUAAAAGCCAUCAUGCUACCUUUGUUUAUCCUAGUAAGUGUUAGUUUGGAAGUACUGGACACACUUCCAAUGGCAUUUAACUUAAGCGUGGUGCUUAGGUUAAACAGCCUUCCUUAAUCUGAUUAGACAUGGAGUCUAGUUUGGUUACUGAACUAAAAACUGCUUGAGUAGAUAUUGGUAUAUUUUGUGGGACUAACCCCUGCAGGAGAACUUUCAAUAUCAACCUGGGAAGUCCUGAGAUAAACUCACAUUGGAGAUGAAGAAAGUGACACAUGAAGUUUAACAAUUUGCACAAGAAAGACGUAGCUCAUAAGACAUGAUUCAUGGAGGGUGCCACAAACACGAUGCACAACCACUAAGAAAGGAAAGCUUCCACAAGGUGAUACUAUACCAUCACUCUUCAAUAACAUCUUAAAGUACUUGAUUAUCACUUUUAUAAGUUCUCCUUGGUUCUGGCAUACACAUGAAUAAAAGAGACAAACAUGUAUGAUUUAUAACUCCAAAUUAACCAACUCAAUUAAUUCAGCAUGUUUAGUCCUUUAAUCUUUGUUCUUAGUACUACCUUCGUGAUCCCACACUCCUAAUCAUAUAAGCUAAAGUAUUGCACAUUCAAUCUUUGGAAGAUAUAAACAAAACAUAAAUAUAGAUAGAUUAUAUUUCCAUUAGGUUGAGCCAUUUGAUCUAACAAAUGUUUUAAAUGCUACACUCAUGAUCCAUCAACUUUGCCUUGCUCACUAUGCUUAAGGUUAGAGAAGAACAAAUACACUUUUGGUUCUGUUGGUGUUUUCCACCAACAGGGCCCAUGCACUUGAUCUCUGCCUUGUCUCCAUGAAUAGGUACACUUCAAACAAAACAUGGAGGAGUUUUACAACUCCCAGAUUCCACUAAGUGAAGAACCGGGAUCUACGAGCACAAACACAAUGGAGAUCAGACACUUAGUUUCCCAAAGGAAAUAUUGAAGAACCUCUGUGUCCGAGUUGGUACCUUGUACGCUCCAGCAAACUUCGUGGUGAUAGAGACUGGUACUGAGGAGAGGGCACCCAUCAUCUUAGGGAGGCCAUUCCUAAACACCAGAGCAGUCAUCUACGCUAAUGCUGCCAAGAUCAGUCUCUACAUCAAGGGGAAGAAGGAGACUUUCCUUCAAGAACAAGACUACACAAGCUUCAGAGCAAACCCGACAUGAACCAAGGAAGAGGACCAACAGGAGGAACAGGAACAAGCAAAUGUGGACUGAGUCAGCUAAGAUGGUCACUGCAGUUCAAAGAGGUCAAGAUCGUCGACUCAAGUCGCCAUUUCUGAUCAAGAAGGACAACCCUGGUGUUCCAAGUAUUGAGUGCACAAUCAACAGAUACUCUUUUUAGAAGACACUCUACGACACCGGAUCUGAUGUCAACAUAAUGGCCGCAGUCACUUAUCAGCUCCUGCAUGGAACCAUGCUCCUACAACCAGCAUACAUUCAGCUCCAGAAAAUUUUCAGGUCAUUGACAUGGGAGAAGACGAGUAUGAUCCACCGACCAUCCUUGGAAGACCGUUCCUCAACACUAUCAAAGCCAUCAUCUAUAUUGGAACCGGAGAAGUCCACAUGCACUUCCUCUCUGAGAAGGUACGCCACUACUUUAAUGAUUCUAACUAUAUAGUUGAAGAUUCUAAGCAGGUCAGGACAAGAAGAAGACAACGCAACCGCAACCAGAGGAGGCAGAUCAUCAAGGACGGAUGGGUAGACUACGAAGGAGAAGUGAUAAGGUCUGAACACAUACGGCUUGAACAGAACUGUCCUGAGGAGACCGUAGCACCGAGUCAGGUGUGGAGAGAGAAGAUAGUUAUACACGACAAAGAGGCGCCGCCGGAAUCACCGACUACGCCACCUAGCGAAUCCCAGGACGACUAAGAAAACGGAGAGUCCCGUUCGGAGGACUUAAAAAUACCGAACGCCUUGCCAAGAGGUAAACUUGGUAGUUAUCCUUUUCCAUUCAAUAGUUUGCUUAGUUAAGCAGGUUCAUGCUAUCUUGAAAAGAAAAUAAAUGUUAAAAAAUAGUAAGCCCCAUGUGAGUAUGCUCAUGGCAUAAAACCCAUAAGUACAUUCACUGUGGUGGCAUGAAAAUAAAAUAAAUAAGUUUUCAUCUUACAAUAAAAAUAUAAAAAUAAUAAGUGCAUGAUCCUGCUAAAUAAGUAAUAUUGAGGAGGCUCAACAUGAUAAAGGCUAGAUAUUUAUGCUAACACUUAACCAGUUCCACAAAGCUUUGUUGUCUAUUUGAGCUCCACAGAAUUCAAGGAUCAAAGAAGACUAGCAGACAGAGGACAUCCUAAUCACUGUCGGGGUGCUGUCGACUUUCAAAUACACCUCCAUCACCUGCUAGCUACAUCAGAAGAAAUUACGUCAAAAUUCAGCUUGGGGGAGAGCACCCCCAUUUAUCUCGCUAAGUAUUUCUACCUAUCUUUAUACUUAUAUUAUGUUAGAAUAUUAAAAUACAUAAACUAUGAAAAAACCAAAUAAAGAUUUUGUGCUUUUAUAUAUAUAUCUUUGCUUAGUUUGCUAAAUAAAUAAAUAAAUAAAAUUUGCUAUGAACCCUCAUGAUAAGCUCUCUCAUGGAAAUGAUGAAUAGUUGCUCUGCCAUGACUAGUUCUUAAAAUUGAAAUCUCUCUCAAGUUUAGGCAUAACUGUUAUAAUUUAAAGCUUGCUCUAAACCUAAACUUGUGGGAAGAGUACUUGAUCUAAAGUCUAAGUCGUUAACGGAUAUGAUAUGGGAAGGUUGAGCUGCUGUUUAUCUGUUCCUAGAGAUGCUAGAAUUCUGGAGAAUUUUAUCUUUGAAAAAAUCUUUAAAAUAACACAUGAUGAGUUCCUGUAUGAUGAGAGUUUAAAAUCCUACCACAGCCAUAUAUACAUGCUUGCUAGACUUUGAGCCACGUAUUUACUUUUUACUGCUUAUGAGCAUUGAGUGUGGUCAAGCUGUGUAGACCCUUAGGAGCUUGUCAUAUGGUUAAAAUCAAGAUUCACUUGCACGUUCACUCAUACAUGCUACUUCUACUCCGAAAGUACGCAUCCACAUACAUCCACUCAUUUCCAUCUCCACAUUCACCCGAAAUUAUUCUACUCCUAAUCCGGGAGAGAAUAGCCAAAAACAUUUUCCUAUACCUGUUAUUCCCUGUGAAAUAAAUGCUCCAGUUAUUUUGGUUACUACCACUUGCUAUAUUAUUUCAGGAGAUGAGUGCUCUAAAAAAAAGAGAAGAAAAAAAAAAGAAAAAAAAUAUAAUAAAUAAUAUACGAGGAAAUAAAAAGAGGCAAGUGCCCGGAACCUCGAAGAAAAGAAAAAGUGAGACGAGAGGUAAAAAUGGACAAGUGUCCGACAGUAGAAUUAGGGGUACAAGAUACCACCUGAGAGGAAAGAAAAAGAAAAUAUAGAGCAUCUCAUUCUCCCCAAAAAGCUUCAAGUGCAAGAAAGGUAUGUAUCCCCUCAAAAGAGCAAAAGUAGAAUUAGACUUUCACCAUUAUUAUCACCAUCAUCACCAUACACCAUUCAUUCGCCACACAUGCACAUCUUGAUUUGACUUAUUGACUUGUUCUUCUGGAUCCAUGGUUUGACUAUGCAAUAAAUGUCUUGUAAGUAUGUAUUAGUUGUCUCCCACCUAUGAGCUCCAGAUAUCAGAACUUUAUUAGAGUAGGGUGAGAGAGAAGGCAAUAUCACUAUGCCUCAUACCAAAAAUACCACAUACUUUGAGAGAAGGCAUAUACCAUUACUGCCUUGGUAAGGAUCCAUAAAUACCACAAAAGAGAGAUCUGAGAGAGUCAUAUAAGGAAUCUCUGAGUUUUAUUUGAAAAUCUGCAAAAAACCCCAGAGCUAUAGCUGAUCAAGAAUAAGAGACAUGGCGCUUGACUUGACCGUUCUAUCUUUUAACUGCUCAAGACACAAGUGAUAGUUACAAGCCCCAUGGUGAAAGGUAAAAUGAGUAAGUUUUAAGUCUUAACAGUUUAUUCUAACUCAAAGAUGAGAUCUUGCUUGAAUGCGUGUGUACUUUUAAGAAAUGAAACCACUGCAGAAACUCUUGAGUUCAUCCUUGCUCAGGGACGAGCAAGAGGUAAGCUUGGGGGAGUUUGUUGAUGGUCCUUAAGUAUCAAAUUUAAUUAUCAAAUAAACAAAGAAAAGGAUCCAAAUGAAAUCAACAUCUAGACUUAGGGUUUUAUCUGACAGAAUUCCACGAGUUUUGGUGUUUGUCUAUUUCUGUAGGGGGUUAUCAGAAAAUAAGGAAGAAAGGCCCACACGUUGGGAUUACAUAGAGAUAUUAAUGUGCCGCACAAUUUUCUAUCAUCUAGAAGACUCCAGAAGCCACGGGAACGAACGAGAAGGCAAACGGGCCCGGGGGCAGGGCGCCCGCCCACCCCCCUUGGGCGCCCGCCCAGGUGUUUCCACCAAUCACAGAAUGGAGUACACCAUUGCAAUGAUCUCGUUGAGCUGAUCGAAAUGCAUAUAUUACUUGCUAUAUUUGGAGUUCGGAAUCAAAAGAUAUUAAUAAAAGAAGGACUCCACAUAAAAGAGCUGCGGGAUUAAUUGGGCCCAAAUCAGAUUUUGGUCCAUUAAGGCCUAUGUGCAUUUUAAUGAGAUAUGGUGGAAAGUUUAGUACCACAUCGCCUGCUGAACCAAAAACGCACAGAGGAGGAGGACUAUAUAAGCAAGGCCCCUGGUCCCUGGAGAAGACAAGAAAUUAUCAUAGAGAUUGAGGGGUGCCCUCGAAGGAAAACCUCUUCUCUAAAUAAUAUUUCUUUUUAGGCUUAGCAACCAAUGUAAAGUAGAAAUAGAUCUUCUAGUUUCUACUAGAUUGAGAGAGAUAGAGUGGAGGUGUGGAUCAGAGGAAGGCCGGCCUGUCGGUGUCUACUCCGAGUUGUACCUG
rnacentral:lncRNA from 1 species